rnacentral:rRNA from 1 species
GACGAACGCUGGCGGCGUGCUUAACACAUGCAAGUCGAGCGGUAAGGCCCUUUCGGGGGUACACGAGCGGCGAACGGGUGAGUAACACGUGAGCAACCUGCCCUUCUCUUUGGAAUAAGCGUUGGAAACGACGUCUAAUGCCGAAUAUGACCCCCUGUCGCAUGGUGGGGGGUGGAAAGCUCUGGCGGAGAAGGAUGGGCUCGCGGCCUAUCAGCUUGUUGGUGUGGGUAAUGGCCCACCAAGGCGACGACGGGUAGCCGGCCUGAGAGGGUGACCGGCCACACUGGGACUGAGACACGGCCCAGACUCCUACGGGAGGCGGCAGUGGGGAAUAUUGGACAAUGGGCGAAAGCCUGAUCCUGCAACGCCGCGUGAGGGAUGACGGCCUUCGGGUUGUAAACCUCUUUCAGCAGGGACGAAGCGAGAGUGACGGUACCUGCAGAAGAAGGACCGGCCAACUACGUGCCAGCAGCCGCGGUAACAC